CCUAACCUUGAUAAGUAUUUGUUCUGUCCAGUCACGGAAUACUGUAUUCGUCGCAUCCAAACACCCUUCGCUGAUGCCAAAAUUUCUAAAUCAAUUUCUUAUCCACCAGCUGUCGAGGAUUUGAAUUUGGCCCAGCCGGGAUCUGCUACUCAACGUUUAACCACUUCCGCCUUAUCAUCUCCGAUUCGUUCGUUUACGCUGCCAUGGCGGCGCCUUUCUCCCUCCGCCACCACUGUCCGCUUCGUCCUACGCCUCCCUAAGUCCUUUCUUUCAAUCCGAGGAUCGCACAACAAUGCGCACACUCGAUCAACAUGAACACAAAAGAACUCAAGGAGGAAUAUUGGUUAAAGAUUUUAUGGAUGAUUUCAGGUGACAAUGAGAAAUAUAAGAAGAGAUGCUUUGAAAGCGUAUGAAAAACUGGAAAAGGAGAAAAAACUUUGGGAAGGUAAUGUGAGAGACUUGUCAAGUGAUGUGCAGAAUCUGACUCUGAUGACAAACAGAAAGAGAGGCAUAAUGAACUCCUUUUUGGUAUCAGAACUAUUAUCAAAGCCUUCAAGAUUCUAUUCUGUUCCAUUCCAAUGAUAUUAAGUAUUUGCAAGAUCACUGAAGAACCCAUUUGAUUAGCCAGCCACUAUUAUGUUUGUACCAUAAUCAUAAUAAUCAACAUGCAUUCCUAUUGUAUUUCAGGAGCUCUUGAAGCUGUGAGACCACGUGGGUUGCGCUCAAAAGGCAUGGUUUUCAGUAUGUUGUGACUUGGAACAAACGAUAGAUUACUCUGUGGAGGGAGGGAAAUAACAUUUUUUUCCGAAACAUCAAUAGAUU